rnacentral:rRNA from 1 species
GACAGAGGGUGCAAACGUUGCUCGGAAUCACUGGGCGUAAAGGGCGUGUAGGCGGGUAGGCAAGUCAGAUGUGAAAUCCCUGGGCUCAACCCAGGAACUGCAUUUGAAACUCCCUUUCUUGAGUACCGGAGAGGAAGGUGGAAUGCCUGGUGUAGAGGUGAAAUUCGUAGAUAUCAGGCGGAACACCAGUGGCGAAGGCGGCCUUCUGGACGGUAACUGACGCUGAGACGCGAAAGCGUGGGGAGCAAACAGG